rnacentral:snoRNA from 1 species
GACCACAAUGAUGAUCACAACCUUUAUACUUUUUUUCUGGUACCUCUUAUGUUAGGGUUCUUCGGGACCCGAUGAAUUAAACGGACUUCUGACA